rnacentral:rRNA from 1 species
UACGAAGGGGGCUAGCGUUGCUCGGAAUUACUGGGCGUAAAGGGCGCGUAGGCGGAUAUCUAAGUCGGGGGUGAAAGCCCGGGGCUCAACCUCGGAAUUGCCUUCGAUACUGGAUAUCUAGAGUAUGGGAGAGGUGUGUGGAACUCCGAGUGUAGAGGUGAAAUUCGUAGAUAUUCGGAAGAACACCAGUGGCGAAGGCGACACACUGGCCCAUUACUGACGCUGAGGCGCGAAAGCGUGGGGAGCAAACAGG